CUGCAGGGCAACGUACAGGUUAAAAUCCCGAGCACUCAGUCCUGGAAAAGUUAAUUUGUAACUGCGGUCUUGCUGAAAACGAAGGCUCCUUUACUGCACCCUCGUUGCCAUGGGGACGGCAGAAGGGCAGCUGCGCCUUUUCGAACACCACCUGGGUGACUCAGGAGGAGAAAGGGAAGAGCCCGGAGCCCAGCCUCAUGGACGUUGAAGCAGAGGUGUGCAGAUUCCUGAAACCUGGUAAAAACCCAUCCUUGAAGAUCUCCAGCCAUUUCACAAACCUUCGGGCAAAAUUGGGAAUAAAUGCACUCAUCCGAAAUG